rnacentral:lncRNA from 1 species
UGAAAUAGACGCGCUGCCGCUGAUGGCUCUUUUUACCUUUUUUGUGUUGAAGUUGGAAGGAUAAAGGGUCUGUGCUUGGGAAAAGAGUGUUUGCAUUGGUGGACUAAUGGUAAGACAUUUGUUCAAUUAUCCAGUUUUUAUUUUGUUUGGAGAAAGUGUAUUUCAGUAGUUUUGCCUUGUGAAGUUAAAUUUGAAGCAAUUUUUUUUGUGUGUUAUCCUGCUCAAGGUGCCUUUCGUUACCUGGCAUUUACAAGGGGUUUCUUCUACUGAAGCGUUCUUUUCCGUAGUUUGUUAAGUAUCAUUUAUGCUGCAGGAAUACUUCUCUGACCUUUCUUUUAUUAUUGCCGGAACUUUGUUGUAGGUUGAUGUUGUGCAAUUUAACGUGUACUAGCUUUGUACUUCAGCCACGUGCAUCUGCUACAGUGUGAUGGACUGCAUCAAUUUCCUAUCUACAUUUCUC